rnacentral:rRNA from 1 species
AUUGAACGCUGGCGGCAUGCCUUACACAUGCAAGUCGAACGGUAACAGGUCUUCGGAUGCUGACGAGUGGCGAACGGGUGAGUAAUACAUCGGAACGUGCCCGAGAGUGGGGGAUAACGAGGCGAAAGCUUUGCUAAUACCGCAUACGAUCUCAGGAUGAAAGCAGGGGACCGCAAGGCCUUGCGCUCACGGAGCGGCCGAUGGCAGAUUAGGUAGUUGGUGGGAUAAAAGCUUACCAAGCCGACGAUCUGUAGCUGGUUUGAGGGGACGACCAGCCACACUGGGACUGAGAAACGGCCCAGACUCCUAGGGGAGGCAGCAGGGGGGAAUUUUGGACAAGGGGCGCAAGCCUGAUCCAGCCAUGCCGCGUGCAGGAUGAAGGCCUUCGGGUUGUAAACUGCUUUUGUCCGGAACGAAAAGACUCUGGUUAAUACCUGGGGUCCAUGACGGUACCGUAAGAAUAAGCACCGGCUAACUACGUGCCAGCCGCCGCCGUAAGAC